rnacentral:rRNA from 1 species
UACGUAGGGUGCAAGCGUUGUCCGGAAUUAUUGGGCGUAAAGAGCUCGUAGGCGGUUUGUCGCGUCGACUGUGAAAACCUACAGCUUAACUGUGGGCUUGCAGUCGAUACGGGCAGACUUGAGUUCGGUAGGGGAGACUGGAAUUCCUGGUGUAGCGGUGAAAUGCGCAGAUAUCAGGAGGAACACCGAUGGCGAAGGCAGGUCUCUGGGCCGAUACUGACGCUGAGGAGCGAAAGCGUGGGGAGCGAACAGG